UCGUAACAAGGUUUCCGUAGGUGAACCUGCGGAAGGAUCAUUACCGAGUGAGGGCCCUGUGGGUCCAACCUCCCACCCGUGUCUAUCGUACCUUGUUGCUUCGGCGGGCCCGCCGUUUCGACGGCCGCCGGGGAGGCCUUGCGCCCCCGGGCCCGCGCCCGCCGAAGACCCCAACAUGAACGCUGUUCUGAAAGUAUGCAGUCUGAGUUGAUUAUCGUAAUCAGUUAAAACUUUCAACAACGGAUCUCUUGGUUCCGGCAUCGAUGAAGAACGCAGCGAAAUGCGAUAAGUAAUGUGAAUUGCAGAAUUCAGUGAAUCAUCGAGUCUUUGAACGCACAUUGCGCCCCCUGGUAUUCCGGGGGGCAUGCCUGUCCGAGCGUCAUUGCUGCCCUCAAGCACGGCUUGUGUGUUGGGCCCCCGUCCCCCUCUCCCGGGGGACGGGCCCGAAAGGCAGCGGCGGCACCGCGUCCGGUCCUCGAGCGUAUGGGGCUUUGUCACCUGCUCUGUAGGCCCGGCCGGCGCCAGCCGACACCCAACUUUAUUUUUCUAAGGUUGACCUCGGAUCAGGUAGGGAUACCCGCUGAACUUAAGCAUAUCAAUAA
rnacentral:misc_RNA from 1 species